rnacentral:tRNA from 1 species
GCGCCCGUAGCUCAGUUGGAUAGAGCGGCAGACUUCUAAUCUGCGGGUCGGGGGUUCGACUCCCUCCGGGCGCG